rnacentral:rRNA from 1 species
UACGGAGGGUGCGAGCGUUAAUCGGAAUUACUGGGCGUAAAGGGUGCGUAGGUGGUUUAAUAAGUUAGCUGUGAAAUUCCUGGGCUUAACCUGGGGUGGUCAGCUAAGACUGUUGGACUCGAGUAUGGGAGAGGGUAGUGGAAUUUCCGGUGUAGCGGUGAAAUGCGUAGAGAUCGGAAGGAACACCGGUGGCGAAGGCGGCUACCUGGCCUGAUACUGACACUGAGGCACGAAGGCCAGGGGAGCAAACGGG